UACGGGGGGGGCAAGCGUUGUUCGGAAUUACUGGGCGUAAAGGGCUCGUAGGCGGCCAACUAAGUCAGACGUGAAAUCCCUCGGCUUAACCGGGGAACUGCGUCUGAUACUGGAUGGCUAGAGGUUGGGAGAGGGAUGCGGAAUUCCAGGUGUAGCGGUGAAAUGCGUAGAUAUCUGGAGGAACACCGGUGGCGAAGGCGGCAUCCUGGACCAACACUGACGCUGAUGAGCGAAAGCCAGGGGAGCAAACGGG
rnacentral:rRNA from 1 species